ACGUGGUACGUCACUAACUAAAUGAGUUAUGCUAUUUAUUUUUCCAAUCCUCGUCGAAUUUACUUCGCCCGAUAUCCAAUCAACAUGAAUGUUGAUUAUCAGAAUACUGCGGAUCUUUUUGCAAGCGCCGGAAUUUUUCACAUCCGGACCUAAUGUCCGAGGAAAGGCGGAUGAACCGGUGGAACCGGGGGGCGAGGAGGGAGAACUAAACAAACGAGAGUCCUCUUCAUCAGGCAGCGAGUUCGACGGUGUUUGCCUUCAGCGAAGUUCGUGACGGGAGGAUGCGUGUCCGCGAAGGGAGAAGCAGGGAAAAGGAGGGAAAUUGAGGGAAACAGAGAGAAUAGGAGGGAAAAGGAUUCGACGAUGGGGGAAAGUGACGGCCGAAAGGUCCCGCACGUGACGUUCCUUCCGGCCUCGUUUCUGCUCCUUCUUCCGGCAUCGUCCACCUCGCCGUGUUUGUUUUCGUUAUUUUAUCACACGCCCGAGAAAUCGGGACACCUCGCAAACUUCCGGUCCCGUCGUCAAGGUAUUCCGAUCGACGUCCAGGAAUUCGAUGACUGACUGCAGCCUACUAGCGUCUACUGCACCGGUUUCCGACACCUUCGAUAUGGAUGGUGUUCGAUUUAGGUGACCAUUCUUAUCAUUUUUAAUUGCAUCGUACAACUUGACUUUUCAAGGUUUAUUUUAACGUAUGCGAAAUUUCAUUUUUAUCGCGUUUAUUUUAACCUUCAUCGCAGAUUUCAUGCAUUCCUGAAAAUGGCUAUUUUUCCAUUUUUUAAAUAUAAAUGCUGCUUAAUUCGUGUUUUAUCGAAUAAGUGACUUCAAUUUUAAUUUAUUGCAGAUAAUAUAGUAUUGAAAGUGUGACUUAAACUUCAAGUAUCGUAAGCAGACUGCAAAUUUUAUGCAAUCGUUAAAAUGGCCACUUCGUGCGACAUGACUUUUUAAUCUUUGUUUUGUUAAAUAAAUGAUUCUAAUUUUAUGAUUGUCUAUUUAUCUGAUUCAUCUAUUUAAUAAUGAAUUGCAGUCUUUAUGCACUCGUGAAAGUGGCCAGUUUCUUCAUUUUUAAUUGUAUUGUACGGCGUGACUUUUUAAUUCUUGUUUUAUCGAAUAAAUGACUUUGAUUUCUUGGGGUUUUGGGUUGGCA